CGGCGCCGGCGCCUCUGGCAGAGGUAUUUCGGUCGGCCUGCUCCGGUGACGGUGCUCGGUGCCGGUGGCCGCCAGUGGUGCGUCUGAGGUCGUCGCCGCCCGGCCGCUGCUCCGCUCCUGCGCCGACAGCCGACCGGCCGCCACACCCCACAGGAGUGCAGCCAUGGUGCACUGGAAGCGUGACCUCGACCUGUACACCAUCGGACGGCCGCUGGAGCGCAAUGCCGGCUUCUGGCUCAACUACAUGAAGGGCCUCAAAGGUGACCACGACAGUCGCCCGGUGCCGGGCGUGACCCCCGCCGGCUCCGGCGCGCACCCGCACUGGGCGCAGCCGGCCACCGGCCGAGACCUGCUCGACCCGCGCUUCCCGCUCGCCGCCGACGGCAGCGGCGUCGGUCACAGCGCCGAGCUCGACGACAUCAGAGACAUCAUCGCGCGGGCCAACCGGCGCCGCCGGCAGCAGGACAUCGACGAGCAGCGGCGCAGGCUGGGGCUCUACUAGACGAGCAGCGGCGCAGGCUGCCGAGCAGCGGCGCAGGCUGGGGCUCUACUAGACGGGCAGCGGCGCAGGCUGGGGCUCUACUAGACCAAGCGGGCAAUCCAGACAGAACGAACAGCGCGGGAAGGCGGAGGGGCCAGCGAAUCAAUAAAAAGGAAUUAAACGUUACACACUACACGUUUUCUACCAUUGUUAGGUUUUCUGAUUUUGGUUGACGCUGCUUUAAUUUAAGUCAUUUUAUCAUUCCUAUUGGAUACAUUUAAAAAAUGUUUAUGAUGUUGCGGAAAAAAAAAUAUUGAAUUUAAUCAAGAAAAUAAAAAUAUAAAUAACUUUAAAGCAAAAUGCAACGCGUCUUUAGUCUUAGGAAUAAAUAACACUCAUAUU
rnacentral:misc_RNA from 1 species